rnacentral:lncRNA from 1 species
GACUCCGUGCUGCCAACGGUCGUGGUGGGGGUAGUUCGAGGCGGCGUGAAGUAGAACGCGAUAUAAAGGAAAUUUCAAGCAUACCAAAAGAAUGUUAUGCCAGUCAAACAGGAAAAAAAGAAAUCUCAAGUGCUGGAGUUAAGAGACCUUCCUGAAAAUUUCAUAGGUGGGAGUGUGAAAGCAGUCGCUGAUGGUGCAUUAAUCGGUGCCAGAUGGCACAGCUGGACAAUGUACUGCAACUGUUCUCUGCAUCCUGAAGUUGCCUAUUGAGCAAAGACCUCUAGCAGCACUGUCUUCUUUCUGUAAGGCUGUAUGAUUCAGAGAGAUAUCAAAUGAGAAGGCUGAAGGGCCUUCAUAUUGCUACUGGCAGUUCAAGUAACCAGACCUAUUUUUCUCUCCAAUGCUUCAAGUUUUCUUGGAUGAAAACUCCUUAGAUUUUUCUUUCAGUGUUAAAUAUUUAGCUUCCAAGUGUCUCAGCAGUGUCAAAAGUUUCAUGCUCAACAGGUGGUGGUUUCAGAGUAUUGUAUACACUGUGCCUUCGG